CGGAGCGCAUGUUCGUUGGCGUUAGGUCUUGCGACUUGACUGGGGGUCAAGGGGUCGCAGGUUCAAAUCCUGUCGCUCCGACCA
rnacentral:tRNA from 1 species